rnacentral:rRNA from 1 species
CCUACGGGUGGCUGCAGUGGGGAAUAUUGGACAAUGGGGGCAACCCUGAUCCAGCCAUGCCGCGUGUGUGAAGAAGGCCCUCGGGUUGUAAAGCACUUUCAGUGAGGAAGAACGCCUGGUGGUUAAUACCCAUCAGGAAAGACAUCACUCACAGAAGAAGCACCGGCUAACUCCGUGCCAGCAGCCGCGGUAAUACGGAGGGUGCGAGCGUUAAUCGGAAUUACUGAGCGUAAAGCGCGCGUAGGUGGCUUGAUAAGCCGGUUGUGAAAGCCCCGGGCUCAACCUGGGAACGGCAUCCGGAACUGUCAAGCUAGAGUGCAGGAGAGGAAGGUAGAAUUCCCGGUGUAGCGGUGAAAUGCGUAGAGAUCGGGAGGAAUACCAGUGGCGAAGGCGGCCUUCUGGACUGACACUGACACUGAGGUGCGAAAGCCUGGGUAGCAAACAGGAUUAGAUACCCUGGUAGUC